rnacentral:rRNA from 1 species
ACAAUCCCGUACUUGACAUGACUACCGAUGUUCUGUGAUACAUUUUCUACGAGUCGAGUUGUUUGGGAAUGCAGCUCUAAAUGGGUGGUAAAUUCCAUCUAAAGCUAAAUAUUGGUGAGAGACCGAUAGCGAACAAGUACCGUGAGGGAAAGAUGAAAAGCACUUUGGAAAGAGAGUUAAACAGUACGUGAAAUUGUUGAAAGGGAAACGAUUGAAGUCAGUCAUGUCUGUUGGUUUCAGCUUGCCCUGCAAGUGUAUUACCUUCAGACGGGUCAACAUCAGUUUUGGUGCGGUGGAUAAGAGCGGAUUGAAGGUGGCACCUUCGGGUGUGUUAUAGCUUUCUGUUGCAUACACUGCCUGAGACUGAGGACUGCAGCUCGCCUUUAUGGCCGCCCCUCGGGGACGUUCGAGCUUAGGAUGUUGGCAUAAUGGCUUUAAACGACCCGUCUUGAACACCGG